UUCUACCCAGCAAUCCCAUGUUUAGAUGGGGUUGACUGGGAAGAGAGUAUGGAGGUAAGUAGUAACAGAGUUUGAACCUGUUCCUGCUGAUUAACAUUCCAUACCACCCAGGUCUGGGUAUGGGAUGGAGAUGAAAAUGCAGAGGCCACCUUAACACUCUGCCUCUGCUCCGUUCCCUCAAUCACCCUGGUCAGGGUAUGAUGUGGGGGAAGGUUAGGAGGGUUUGUGUUGCCCAAAAGGAGCCCUUCCCUAUGUCAACCUUAUGAGGGUAUGACCGGGUCUCUGGGUCCCCUGGUAUGGUGGGGGUAAGCUGUUUUCUUUGAGGGGUUUCUUUGUCUUUGGUUCUUAGUUGAUCUUGGGUUGGUGAGAUCGGGUUGUCCUGUGUGGUUGGAGUAGGUGGGAGCCUGUAGUGCCAUUAGUUGAGGCCUGAACAGGGGUCUCUGUGUGAGGUGAAGUCGGCGUUCCAAUGAUGAGACUGGGCUGCCGGUCAA